rnacentral:misc_RNA from 1 species
UUCUUUGAAUGAUUUUAGGAAUUAUGAAGCUCUCUGACACCAUGGCCACGCCUAUAGAAGAAAAACUCGACCAAAACCUGAAGGUGCGAACUGGAAUGGUACACGUGAGCGAUGGCAAGAGCAGACCAGAACCCCUUCGACUUAAUCUUACCAUGGAGUUGCUUUCGCUGCAGAAGCUGGAAGUGGUGACCCCAAGUAGUUGUCAUCCCAAUGGACCACCCAUGGAAUCAAAGGAACGCAUGGUUCAAAUAACGCGCCAAAAACAAGGCGGCCUAGGACUGAGCAUAAAAGGCGGCGCCGAGCACAAACUACCCAUUUUGAUAUCGCGUAUCUAUAAGGAUCAGGCUGCGGACAUAACGGGCCAGCUGUUUGUGGGCGAUGCCAUCAUCAAGGUCAACGGAGAGUACAUCACGGCAUGUCCUCACGAUGAUGCCGUCAAUAUAUUGAGAAACGCUGGCGAUAUUGUUGUGCUCACUGUUAAGCAUUAUCGCGCAGCCACGCCUUUCCUUCAGAAGCAACUGACCAAGGACACGCCCGACUCUGACAACGAUGUCACAUGUGCCGAGCUGAAGGCUGACGAGGGCUACAAGUCAUCCGUCAAUAGUGGAACCAUCAGUCGCAGUUGUAGUCGCCCCAUGUCAAUCUGCUCGGAGCCGGAGAAGCGCUGGACCGACGUGGUUGCCGUACCCCUAAUGAUGGCAUAUGUGACGAGGUACAUCUAUGGCACUGACAAGCUGCGCCAAAAUGCCUUCGAAGUUCGCGGUCUAAAUGGAAUUUCCACAGGUGUCAUACACUGCGAUGAACUUGCCAUACUUAGUCAGUGGCUAAAACUGAUAACGGACAAUGUUGUGGGCCUAACGCAUUUACAGAUGAAGCUAUAUAAUAGAAACUUUGCUGUGGGCGAGCGCAUUGAGUACAUGGGCUGGGUGAAUGAAGGUGUCAUCAACAACAAUAUAUCGUGGCAGAGCUACAAGCCCAGGUUUCUACUGCUCAAAGGCACUGAAGUGAUGCUCUUUGAAACGCCACCACUUAAUGUGGCUGGCAUUAGCAAGGCUUUGGUGGUCUACAAGGUCUACCAGACCAUGUUCCGCAUUGUCAAGGAAUCCGAGACCGUGGAUAGUCGCCAGCACUGUUUCCUGCUGCAAAGUUCGGGUCAUGAGCCGCGCUAUUUGAGCGUGGAAACCCGUCAGGAGCUUUUGAGAAUCGAGAAUAGCUGGAAUGCAGCCAUUGUGACAAGUGUCAUCAAACUGGGCCGUAAGACAUUUGCCGUGUCGCAUCAUGGAAAAAGUGGUGGACUCACGCUGGACUGGCAAGCUGGAUUUUCACUAACUGAAGGAGCAGAAUCCGCCACAGUUUGGCAGUAUAAAUUCUCACAGCUGAGGGGCUCCAGUGAUGAUGGUAAAUCGAAGCUGAAGCUGCAUUUUCAGGAUCACGAUAGCCGUGCAAUAGAAACCAAGGAGCUGGAAUGCCAAGUCCUGCAAAGUCUGCUGUUCUGCAUGCACGCGUUUCUCACGGCCAAGGUGGCAUCGGUGGAUCCGGCAUUUUUGAGCUCAAUCCAGCAGACUUAAAUCAAAAUGUGGACAAGAAUUCACAUGGACUCACACUCAAAAUGAUAUAUAAUGAAUAUUCGUAAAGUGCAUAGCAAAUAAUUCGAAUAUGAAUGUUGGACUAUAGGUAUCGCAUACAUGAUUGUCUGCUUGGAGUUAUUAUAAACGAGUACGCGCAUAUACAUAUCGCUGAUAAAACUGAAAGUGAAAUCUCUUGGUGCAUUACAGUAAAUUUUAAGCAUACAUAAGGCAAUUACUUUAGGCAUUUUUCCUAUUACGUAGACUUGGUACUUACAAAUUGACAACAAAUUUAUAUUGUUUAUAAUCGAUCGUUUCCGAAUGUAGCCUUUAAAGUUAAAUUACUUACCCCUACCUAACUUACGGAUUGUUAAAACCACAUAGGUCUGCCGAUUCUGAAUGUCAGAGCAACUGAUCGCUUUUGCUAUUAGCCGAAAAGAUUAUAAUGAGUGGCCUUAAAGGCUUUAUCCCGUGCUGUAUCCUCUAGACAUAUAUUUCUCCGGCGGUUUAACGAAAAUUGAUCGAAAAAGAUGAAAACCGUGUUUUGUGUGCGCUCUAAUGAAAAUUUAAUUUUCGAAAAAAACGAAUGCUUUAAGGUCGGAUUAACUGUUAUUUUCUACUGAAGUAAUAGCUGAUGUCAUAAUAGAUAUAUACAUAUAUAUAAAAAUACCUUAUAAAUUAAUAUAUAUAUAACAUCCACCGAACAAAUCUCAAUGCACAGACGUAACAUGAACUAGAUUUUAUAACUGUUAUACAUUUACUCAGAGCCAGUUAAGUGAUUUCAUCAGACACUCACUUAGGUCAUUUGUCAAUUCAGAACGUGUCUUUCGGUGGCAAGAUCGCAUUUGUUGCUAGCAUAUUGCAUUGUACGUAUUGAUUUUAGGCGUUAUUGCACAACAUACAACUACACAUUAUCGAAUUAGUUAGCGAAUCAUCGACGAGCACAAAAGAUCAUAUAUCUACACACAAAUAUCAAGUUGGCGCAUAAGCAAAUUGCAAAAUCCCAAACAGCAUAAGCAGAAUAUCUCUAAAAAUAUGCAAGUAUCUAUAAUCCAUAUACCACAGCUGAAAACAGAAUCAAAAAUAUUUACUGUACAUAUGCUUAGCUCUAUUGGGUUAGAAUCCGCUCCUAGCUCCACAAAGUAUAUAUGUAUAUGUAUACCAUAGCCGCAGAAAUAAUAUUUGCAUACAAACCGAUCCUAGUUGCACCCAAAUCGCAAUCCUAAACCCACAAACCCGACCAACAUACGUAAUCUGCAAACACCGCAACAUGUUAUACGAGUAUCAAUUACCAGGGAGUUAGAGCUCCCUCAUCACAACUAACCUACAUACCAUACAUACAUACAUAUAUUUUUAAUGCGAAGCUUACAUAGUGCUGUAUGAAGUACACGACAUACAGAUAUAUACAUACAUAUAUAUGCCACACACACACAUAUGUUCCCCGAACUAAGGAUACUACUCAAAAACUGCGAUUCUGUAAUAAAGUUCAAUAUUUAUCCGGAACUGCGCUACUUGAACAAAAAUUCAACGAUAUGAAAACCAUUUGAGUUGGUUUAGUUAUGGUUCCCUAUUUACUUUUAUGCGUUUGCUAAUUGAAAUUAUUGUACAAGAAAACCAAAGCAUUCGAAUUGGAAUAAAAUCUGAAUAUCUAAUCAAGAA